GACGUAGGGCGCGAGCGUUGUCCGGAUUUAUUGGGCGUAAAGAGCUCGUAGGCGGCUUGUUGCGUCGACUGUGAAAACCCGCGGCUUAACUGCGGGCUUGCAGUUGAUACGGGCAGGCUAGAGUUCGGUAGGGGAGACUGGAAUUCCUGGUGUAGCGGUGAAAUGCGCAGAUAUCAGGAGGAACACCGGUGGCGAAGGCGGGUCUCAGGGCCGAUACUGACGCUGAGGAGCGAAAGCGUGGGGAGCGAACAGG
rnacentral:rRNA from 1 species